CAGUUCACAACCUCACCGUGCAACCGCAUUCAACUCACUGUCGCCGUCGUUCUUGCUCGCCACCUAUUGAGCACCGAGUUAAUCCUUGUUUCUGUUUCUGCAUAAGUUCUUCCAGCUGGUGCAAAUUCCCUCAAAUCUGGUACAAAAAAUUUGUGAGUUUUACACGCAAGCCAGAGAAAGGAUGCAUGUUUUCCUGAAACUCUUCAACGGCCUUACGCGACGUGUUUUGGUGUAUCGCUGUUAUGCUUCUUCUCCUGGCCUUGCCCUUGCUGAUUCAUUUUAUAUCAAUGAAAACACUCUUCCAUGCUCAAGGAACCUCGAUCCACCACUCAAUUAUGUCUAUCCAGGAACUGCCACUGAAAGAAGAGAUAUGAUCUGGCAGGGGAAACUGGAAGAGCGAGCUCCAACUGCCUUUUAUGUGCCUAAUAUGCCUGAACUUAACUCUCAACUGAAGCAACUAAUGAAACUGGGAAAAAUUUGUGAAGCUAGGGAUAUGUUUAAUAGAAUGGCUCACAGAGAUGAGAUAUCAUGGACAAAUUUAAUAGCGGGUUAUGUCAAUGCUGCAGACUCGAAUGAAGCUUUGAUCUUAUUCUCAAAUAUGUGGGUCGACUCUGGACUUCAAAAGGAUCAAUUUGUGGUAAGUGUUGCCCUCAAGGCUUGUGCACUUGGCAUGAAUAUAUAUUUUGGAGAAUUAUUGCAUGGAUUUUCAGUGAAAUCUGGUUUGAUAAACUCUGUUUUUGUCAGCAGUGCCCUUGUAAACAUGUACAUGAAAGUAGGAAAAACAGAACAAGGUCGCAGUGUCUUUGAAAAAAUGACAACAAGAAAUGUAGUAUCAUGGACUGCAAUUAUUGUGGGGCUUGUACAUGCUGGUUACAGUUUGGAGGGACUGUUGUACUUUUCUGAAAUGUGGAGAUCAAAAGUGGGCUAUGAUUCACAUACAUUUGCCAUUGCUUUAAAGGCAUCUGCUGAUUCAGGUUUGUUGCAUUAUGGGAAAGCCAUACAUGCACAAACAAUAAAACAAGGGUUCAAUGAAACUGCGUUUGUUGUUAAUACUCUUGGUACCAUGUAUAAUAAAUGUGGAAAACCAGACUAUGUCAUGCAAUUAUUUGGAAAAACGAGGAUGCCAGAUGUAGUUUCAUGGACGAACCUUAUCACAACUUAUGUACAGAUGGGUGAAGAAGAACAAGCAUUGGAUGCAUUUAAAAGAUUCAGGAAAUCCAAUGUCAGUCCCAAUGAGUAUACUUUUGCAUCCAUAAUUUCUGCUUGUGCCAGUCUUGCUGUUACUGAAUGGGGGGAGCAAAUACAUGGCCAUGUAUUGCGUCUAGGUUUGGUAGAUGCCUUGUCGGUGGCAAAUUCCAUCAUCACUCUUUAUUCGAAAUGUGGGCUGUUACGGGAAGCUUCAUUGGUAUUUCAUGGUAUGACUAGGAAAGAUAUUAUUUCUUGGAGCACUAUAAUUUCUGUUUAUUCUCAAGGAAAUCACGCAAAAGAAGCUUUCAACUAUCUAUCAUGGAUGAGAAGGGAAGGACCGAAACCAAAUGAAUUUGCUCUUGCUAGUGUGCUGAGUGUUUGUGGAAGCAUGGCACUUCUGGAGCAAGGUAAGCAGGUGCAUGCUCAUGCCCUGGGCAUUGGCUUAGAUCAUGAAGCAAUGGUUCAUAGUGCUCUAAUUAGUAUGUAUUCAAGAAGUGGAAAUCUACAAGAGGCUUCAAAAGUUUUUAAUGGUAUAAACAUUAACGAUAUCAUAUCAUGGACUGCAAUGAUUAAUGGGUAUGCGGAACAUGGUUACAGCCAAGAGGCUAUUAGCUUGUUUGAGAAUAUUUCCCGUGUUGGUUUAACGCCGGACUAUGUGACGUUUAUUGGGGUUCUGACUGCUUGUAACCAUGCUGGAUUGGUUGAUCUUGGUUUCUACUACUUAAAGUUAAUGACUAAUGCGUACCGAAUCACUCCUUCAAAAGAGCACUACGGUUGCAUGAUUGAUCUUCUAUGCAGAGCAGGGCGGUUGAGUGAAGCUGAGCAUAUGGUACGAAACAUGCCAUUCCCUUGUGAUGAUGUUGUAUGGUCUACCUUACUCAGAGCAUGUAAGGAUCAUGGUGAUGUUGAUCGGGGAAGUUGGGCAGCAGAACAUAUACUUCGCUUGGAUCCAAAUUCUGCUGGAACUUACAUCACUAUUGCUAACAUAUAUUCUGCCAGUGGAAGAUGGAAGGAAGCGGCACAUUUCAGGAAGUUAAUGAAGUCAAAGGGAGUAAUAAAGGAGCCAGGAUGGUCUUGGAUUAAUGUCAAUGAUCAAUUAAAUACAUUUGUUGCUGGGGAUCAAUCUCAUCCGCUAAGUCAACAUAUAACAACCAUUUUGGAAUUACUAAGCACGAGUAUAGGAGAUGCUAGGCUGGAUUUAGGUUCUAUUGUAGAAGAUGUUGAAGAUUAGAAGAAGUUUUUACUUCAAUGGAGGAUGCUGCGUACACCUUUCUGUCAUCAAAGAAAAGGGCUUCUGAACAGGAGCUCAGCCGACACACUCCUCAUCACAAUGAGGAAGAUUCCCGUUGCCUUGCUACUGGAACUUUAAAGAGAGACAGUGAUGAGGUUCUGUUAUUCUACUCAAUCCCAUUCCAGAUCAAUCCAUUCACAAACACUCUACUCCCCUUCAAAACUCCUAAAGAUCUCCUUGAGUUGUAGAUGUUGACUCUAAUGCAUGUUAGAAGAUGGCUGGGGAGUAUUUAAAACAUGCAAUGGAUUUGAGUGGAUUGUUGCUUCUAUAUUGUUCUUUAUUGAGAUGCUGAAGGAAUAUUAAUACAUCCUUAAGAGCAAGGGAAGAACAAUGUUGCUGUGUGUGGAUUUGCAUCACUGAGGUUUGUUCAAACAAAUUAGCAGUGCUUUGUUCUCCAUGGUCGCAUUUUUCUGCAUGCUACCAUCACCUCGGUUUGUUGCUUUUUGUUUGCGCUUCCAAAUCUCUCGACUGUGAAGCUAGGUACGGAAUACCCUUUGCACAUGUUGUGUAUUAUACACAACCUAAACUGAUAGUUGUUUAUUGAAGAUAAUGUCUCUGAUUGUGGCACAUGGUCAAGUACAGUAACAAUUUACUAUAAUUUAUAACUUUUUUUUGACAAAUCGUUUAUAUUACCUAAAUUCUUCACCACUAAACUAAACAUAGUGGCUUUAUAGACAAACAUGGUUGUUAAAGAUAUAUUGGUAAAUAAUUUGUAUACAUAGUUUUUUCCUUGGUUUUGCUCCUUUCCACAUAUAAUGUUUACAUCUCAGUUUUGAAGUAGCAGAAGCAAUUGUUUACUUGAUAAUAAUGAGAACUUGCACGUCAAUUAGGAAAAUAUUCACAUAAAAAAAACCUUAUAAUUUACUUGUAUUUUUGUUGGAGCAAGUUGGUAGCUUCGAGGGAAACUUGGUAUAAAAAUAAACACAAGUGUUUUCAUAAGUGUAGCUCAAAUGGUAGUUAUAUCAGGGACAUUAUUGGAGUGGUCGGGGUUCGAACUUCGGAUUCCAAGUUUCUCCACAUUUGAAUGUGUGAGUCUUGCUAUUAGGUUACAUGACAAAAAAAAAUAAUAUUAAACACAAGUGUAGAACUAAGUGUGUAGUGUGAAUUGAGAAAAACUUAUUUUAAGUCACACAUUGGAGGAAACAAACCCCUUAUUAGUGUUUAUAUAUGAGAGGAUAGCUUCUUGGGAUGUGCACCAAGGGAUAUCCAAUUUUGUAAAUGGAGGAUUUCACAUACAAUGUUGGGUGUCACAUGCACCGCCAUCCGGUCGGAUCGGGUUUAGGCCUUGGUGACAUAUACAUUUUUUAAU